AACAGGAUUAGAUACCCUGGUAGUCCACGCCGUAAACGAUGUCGACUUGGAGGUUGUUCCCUUGAGGAGUGGCUUCCGGAGCUAACGCGUUAAGUCGACCGCCUGGGGAGUACGGCCGCAAGGUUAAAACUCAAAUGAAUUGACGGGGGCCCGCACAAGCGGUGGAGCAUGUGGUUUAAUUCGAUGCAACGCGAAGAACCUUACCUACUCUUGACAUCCAGCGAACUUAGCAGAGAUGCUUUGGUGCCUUCGGGAACGCUGAGACAGGUGCUGCAUGGCUGUCGUCAGCUCGUGUUGUGAAAUGUUGGGUUAAGUCCCGCAACGAGCGCAACCCUUAUCCUUUGUUGCCAGCGAUUCGGUCGGGAACUCAAAGGAGACUGCCGGUGAUAAACCGGAGGAAGGUGGGGAUGACGUCAAGUCAUCAUGGCCCUUACGAGUAGGGCUACACACGUGCUACAAUGGCGCAUACAAAGAGAAGCGACCUCGCGAGAGCAAGCGGACCUCACAAAGUGCGUCGUAGUCCGGAUCGGAGUCUGCAACUCGACUCCGUGAAGUCGGAAUCGCUAGUAAUCGUGGAUCAGAAUGCCACGGUGGAUACGUUCCCGGGCCUUGUACACACCGCCCGUCACACCAUGGGAGUGGGUUGCAAAAGAAGUAGGUAGCUUAACCUUCGGGAGGGCGCUUACCACUUUGUGGUUCAUGACUGGGGUGAAGUCGUAACAAGGUAACC
rnacentral:rRNA from 1 species